GUCCACGCUGUAAACGAUGUGUGCUUGACGUCGGGAAGCCUAGCUUUCCGGUGUCGCAGCUAACGCGGUAAGCACACCGCCUGGGGAGUACGGUCGCAAGAUUAAAACUCAAAGGAAUUGACGGGGGCCCACACAAGCGGUGGAGCAUGUGGUUCAAUUCGAUGCUACGCGCAGAACCUUACCAGGCCUUGACAUGGGAAGUAUGGAACGGAGAGAUCUGUUCCUUCAGUUCGGCUGGCUUCCACACAGGUGCUGCAUGGCUGUCGU
rnacentral:rRNA from 1 species